GGACAAAAGGCGUUUUGUAACACAGGAUUCUCCAGGACCCAGUGGCGAGGUUAGUUUCGCCACAAAUAUUAUUAACAUACUUUGAAAAUUUCCACCCAGCCUCCCUACUUGGAGAGUUGGCGUGGAUCUGUCGCUGGGAUCCAGUAGGGCAGCUGGGAGGCGUGCGGCUGUAUUGGAAUCUGAGGCGGCAAGGGAGCCCUGAUCUCCCUGCUCUCCUUGCUCUGCUCCCUCGGGCUGUCUAC